rnacentral:rRNA from 1 species
UACGGAGGGUGCAAGCGUUAUCCGGAUUCACUGGGUUUAAAGGGUGCGUAGGCGGGCAGGUAAGUCCGUGGUGAAAUCUCCAAGCUUAACUUGGAAACUGCCGUGGAUACUAUUGUCUUGAAUAUAGUGGAGGUGAGCGGAAUAUGUCAUGUAGCGGUGAAAUGCUUAGAUAUGACAUAGAACACCCAUGCGAAGGCAGCUCGCUACACUAUUAUUGACGCUGAGGCACGAAAGCGUGGGAGUCAAACAGGA